GUUUUUCCUCGGAUCAGGUAGGGAUACCCGCUGAACUUAAGCAUAUCAAUAAGCGGAAG
rnacentral:rRNA from 1 species